CCUACGGGAGGCAGCAGUGAGGAAUAUUGGACAAUGGGCGCAAGCCUGAUCCAGCCAUGCCGCGUGCAGGAAGACGCAUCUAUGGUGUGUAAACUGCUUUUGUACGGGAAGAAACACUCCUACGUGUAGGAGCUUGACGGUACCGUAAGAAUAAGGAUCGGCUAACUCCGUGCCAGCAGCCG
rnacentral:rRNA from 1 species